GUGGAAAUGUCUGAAUGGCCGAGCAGUUCCUGUACGGCACGAAGGUCGGCGCCGUUGGCGAGCAGAUGACUGGCGAAGGCG
rnacentral:sRNA from 1 species